rnacentral:tRNA from 1 species
UGGAGAGGUGACCGAGUGGACGAAGGUGCACGCCUGGAAAGCGUGUAGGGGGUUAAAAGCUCCCUCGUGGGUUCGAAUCCCACCCUCUCCGU